UGGGGAAUAUUGCACAAUGGGGGAAAACCCUGAUGCAGCGACGCCGCGUGAGUGAAGAAGUAUUUCGGUAUGUAAAGCUCUAUCAGCAGGGAAGAUGAUGACGGUACCUGAGUAAGAAGCCCCGGCUAACUACGUGCC
rnacentral:rRNA from 1 species